rnacentral:rRNA from 1 species
GGGGAAUAUUGGACAAUGGGGGGAACCCUGAUCCAGCCAUGCCGCGUGUGUGAAGAAGGCCUUAUGGUUGUAAAGCACUUUAAGCGAGGAGGAGGCUACUUUGGUUAAUACCUAAAGAUAGUGGACGUUACUCGCAGAAUAAGCACCGGCUAACUCUGUGCCAGCAGCCGCGGUAAUACAGAGGGUGCGAGCGUUAAUCGGAUUUACUGGGCGUAAAGCGUACGUAGGCGGCUUUUUAAGUCGGAUGUGAAAUCCCUGAGCUUAACUUAGGAAUUGCAUUCGAUACUGGGAAGCUAGAGUAUGGGAGAGGAUGGUAGAAUUCCAGGUGUAGCGGUGAAAUGCGUAGAGAUCUGGAGGAAUACCGAUGGCGAAGGCAGCCAUCUGGCCUAAUACUGACGCUGAGGUACGAAAGCAUGGGGAGCAAAC